GACGUAGGGUGCAAGCGUUAAUCGGAAUUACUGGGCGUAAAGCGUGCGCAGGCGGUUCGCUAAGACAGAUGUGAAAUCCCCGGGCUUAACCUGGGAACUGCAUUUGUGACUGGCGGGCUAGAGUAUGGCAGAGGGGGGUAGAAUUCCACGUGUAGCAGUGAAAUGCGUAGAGAUGUGGAGGAAUACCGAUGGCGAAGGCAGCCCCCUGGGCCAAUACUGACGCUCAUGCACGAAAGCGUGGGGAGCAAACGGG
rnacentral:rRNA from 1 species